GAUGAACGCUGGCGGCGUGCUUAACACAUGCAAGUCGAACGGUGAAGGCGGAGCUUGCUCUGCUGGAUCAGUGGCGAACGGGUGAGUAACACGUGAGCAAUCUGCCCCUGACUCUGGGAUAAGCGCUGGAAACGGCGUCUAAUACUGGAUACGAGCUGCGAAGGCAUCUUCAGCAGCUGGAAAGAAUUUCGGUCAGGGAUGAGCUCGCGGCCUAUCAGCUUGUUGGUGAGGUAAUGGCUCACCAAGGCGUCGACGGGUAGCCGGCCUGAGAGGGUGACCGGCCACACUGGGACUGAGACACGGCCCAGACUCCUACGGGAGGCAGCAGUGGGGAAUAUUGCACAAUGGGCGAAAGCCUGAUGCAGCAACGCCGCGUGAGGGAAGACGGCCUUCGGGUUGUAAACCUCUUUUAGCAGGGAAGAAGCGAAAGUGACGGUACCUGCAGAAAAAGCGACGGCUAACUACGUG
rnacentral:rRNA from 1 species